GUGCCAGCAGCCGCGAGCAUACAGAGGGUGCAAGCGUUAAUCGGAUUUACUGGGCGUAAAGCGCGCGUAGGUGGCCCAUUAAGUCAAAUGUGAAAUCCCCGAGCUUAACUUGGGAAUUGCAUUCGAUACUGGUUGGCUAGAGUAUGGGAGAGGAUGGUAGAAUUCCAGGUGUAGCGGUGAAAUGCGUAGAGAUCUGGAGGAAUACCGAUGGCGAAGGCAGCCAUCUGGCCUAAUACUGACACUGAGGUGCGAAAGCAUGGGGAGCAAACAGGAUUAGAUACCCUGGUAGUCC
rnacentral:rRNA from 1 species